UAUAGAGGUCUCAAGCGUUGUUCGGAUUCAUUGGGCGUAAAGGGUGCGUAGGCGGCGCGGUAAGUCGGAUGUGAAAUCUCGGAGCUUAACUUCGAAACUGCAUUCGAUACUGGCGUGCUUGAGGACUGGAGAGGAGACUGGAAUUCAUGGUGUAGCAGUGAAAUGCGUAGAGAUCAUGAGGAAGACCAGUGGCGAAGGCGGGUCUCUGGACAGUUCCUGACACUGAGACACGAAGGCCAGGGGAGCAAACGGG
rnacentral:rRNA from 1 species